GGGAGCUGCUAUCACUGAAUACAUAAAGAAAUUGAGCCUAUAUGAUUUCAAUCUUCACCUUCUGAUGCUGAUGAAACAGGAUUCUAUGCAGUUUUCCACAGGGAGAAGCAGCAGGCUGAAGUGGCUCUUUAGGGAGACACAUACCUCCACAGGAAGAGCAGUCUAGAUUGUUUUAGCACAUUCCACUUAAGGAUUGCAGUGUGACAGCAGAGAAAAUCCUCUCCAGUCAAGUAAUUGCAUCCAUUUCAUCUUCCCAGCCCUCCUCUAGAUGGGAGGUGGAGGACAGUGGGGACCCCAGCCAGAGCCUGGGGACUUGGCUGCCUUGGAACCAGAACCUGGCCCCUCAGAGGAGUUGCAGAAUUUCGAUAGAGGAGUGGCAGGAGGUGUACUGGCUGAAGAGGAGGCCCAAGGAACUCCUUUUCAUACAUCAAAACUGAGCUUAUCACCUCUACCCUGAAGUCAUCCUGGACAUCACUGGUCCCAGUUAAUCACUCACUUAUCUUUGCCAUCCUUGACCUGGGAAGAGAACGUUGCCCUCAUUGGUCUGGAAUCAGCAGGUACCUCAUGGCUGGAGGUGUAUUUUCAGACUCCUUUGGCAUCUGGUGAGGCCUGUGGAUUCAUUCUCAGAAUCACAUUUUUAAAUGCACAUAAUAAAAUACAUAGAAUUGCAAAGGAAGUUAAUUAUAUUGAAAUACAGUUAUCAAAAAUAUAAAUAAA
rnacentral:lncRNA from 1 species